AAGGAUUUGUGACCAGACUUUUUCUGGGCGGAUCAUCCGGGGUUCUCUCCGGUGCACUUCGCCCAGUAAAGGCCAGCAUCGGUUUUCGGCGUGGGAUAAAAGCAGUAGGAAUGUGGCUCU
rnacentral:rRNA from 1 species